UAGCAGGCUUUCUUGUCUCGUAUGCCUUUUGGAAUAAAGUAAACAAAGAUAGAGGUAAUUGACUUCGAUCUAUACACCAAGUGAGUUAAAUACGUCCGCACGUCUUGUAUCUAGACGUGAAUAAAGCGUGUAACUCAUGUGAUUUCCGUCAUCAGUUACAAGAAAAAUUUCCACGGGUGCUUGGAAUUUAUUAUAAAGUCGACGAGAUACUAGGAGAAGGUACUAUCAGACAAA